rnacentral:lncRNA from 1 species
AGAAACUUUAUUCUUUGGAAAAGUUUAUCCAUAUCUGCCUAUAUGGAUAAGAUACAGACAGUCAGUAGCAGUGGUAGUGAAAUAUGAUACCUCAAAACAAUUGAAAUUUUGGUUUAUUUUUUUAUUCUAAAGAAAUGAAAAUAUCUUCUUCAUCAAUGGAUCUACCCAUCUACCCCAGUAGUUGAAACCUGUACACAACAACAACAAACGCUCUCAGGAGUUAACUAAAUCGUCGGCAACGAUGAAAAGACGAGUAAGAAUACCUAUCAUCGUCAUUCUUCUACUUCUGCAAACUUGCGCAACAGCUCUCAUCCCCAACUGUCCUGCUUCCUCCUGCGGCAACAUUCCCAACAUAACUUACCCCUUUCGACUCACCACCGACCCAUCUCACUGCGGCGACAUCAGGUACCAAUUGCAUUGUCAGAACAACGCCACUCUUCUAACCCUGUUUUCGGGUACAUACAAAGUCCAACAAAUCGAUUACAAGAGAUACAAAAUUCGAGUGAGUGAUGCAGAGGACGGUACCUGCUCCUCCAUGCCUCGCUAUUUCUUGCACUCUGGUAAUUUCAGUAACGAGUUACUGGGUCCUGGAAGGGAUCCGCUAAAAUUGGACCCAUUUUUUC